rnacentral:rRNA from 1 species
CGUAGGGCGCAAGCGUUAUCCGGAAUUAUUGGGCGUAAAGAGCUCGUAGGCGGUUUGUCGCGUCUGCUGUGAAAGACCGGGGCUCAACUCCGGUUCUGCAGUGGGUACGGGCAGACUAGAGUGCAGUAGGGGAGACUGGAAUUCCUGGUGUAGCGGUGAAAUGCGCAGAUAUCAGGAGGAACACCGAUGGCGAAGGCAGGUCUCUGGGCUGUAACUGACGCUGAGGAGCGAAAGCAUGGGGAGCGAACAGGAUUAGAUACCCUGGUAGUCCAUGCCGUAAACGUUGGGCACUAGGUGUGGGGGACAUUCCACGUUUUCCGCGCCGUAGCUAACGCAUUAAGUGCCCCGCCUGGGGAGUACGGCCGCAAGGCUA